UGGCGGACGGGUGAGUAACGCGUGGGUAACCUGCCUUACACAGGGGGAUAACACCUGGAAACAAGUGCUAAUACCGCAUAAGCGCACAGGGCCGCAUGGCCCGGUGUGAAAAACUCCGGUGGUGUAAGAUGGACCCGCGUCUGAUUAGCUUGUUGGCGGGGUAGAGGCCCACCAAGGCGACGAUCAGUAGCCGGCCUGAGAGGGUGGACGGCCACAUUGGGACUGAGACACGGCCCAAACUCCUACGGAAGGCAGCAG
rnacentral:rRNA from 1 species